rnacentral:rRNA from 1 species
GAUGAACGCUGGCGGCGUGCUUAACGCAUGCAAGUCGAACGGUGAAGCAGGAGCUUGCUCCUGUGGAUCAGUGGCGAACGGGUGAGUAACACGUGAGCAAUCUGCCCUGGACUCUGGGAUAAGCGUUGGAAACGACGUCUAAUACCGGAUACGAGGCGUGGGGGCAUCCCCAACGCCUGGAAAGAACUUCGGUCCAGGAUGAGCUCGCGGCCUAUCAGGUAGUUGGUGAGGUAACGGCUCACCAAGCCUACGACGGGUAGCCGGCCUGAGAGGGUGACCGGCCACACUGGGACUGAGACACGGCCCAGACUCCUACGGGAGGCAGCAGUGGGGAAUUUUGGACAAUGGGCGCAAGCCUGAUCUAGCCAUGCCGCGUGAGCGAUGAAGGCCUUAGGGUUGUAAGCUCUUUCAGCGAGGAAGAUAAUGACUGUACUCGCAGAAGAAGCCCCGGCUAACUCCGUGCCAGCCGCCGCUGUAAUAC